GGAUUAAAUCAUACGGUACAGAUCAAAAGUACCACACACAAAUUGAAUUACACAUGAUAUUUUCCUGCAACCAUCUCCUUCCUCGGUCUCUCUCGGAAUCGCCGUAAGUUCUGUCCUUUUGGAAUCUUCCCAAUAAUUUCUUUCAACAAAUUAGGCUAAUAAAAAAUACACUAAUAUCUUGAAAAUCAUUGCAAUGGUUUUGGUUAUCUCAAUUUAAGAUGAAGACCCUUGUGUUUUCAACUCCAGAUCUGUUAAAAUUAACUUAGGAUCAGAAGCCAAAAUUAAUCUAAGGUGAAGUAUCGGUGGUGAAAGUGUGUAAAUUAGAAUGAAAACUGAUAUGAAUGCGGAAACAGGGAGCUGGUGUUGUAGUGAGGAUUAACGGCGGCGGUGGCGGCGGUGGCGGUCAAGACAAUAUUUAAUUUUGAGAGACCUCUUGUUUUUUCAAUUCUAGAUCCAGAAUAAAGCUAAUGCAAGAAAUUGGCUUGGGAGGAAUCGAAGUCUUGGAAGAGAUCCAGAAUUGAAGAAUUGGAAGAGAUGUAUGGUGGCUGCGUUCGUGGCGGUGAGAAGAGAUGGAGAGGAUCUGUGUGGUUGGGAGUGUGUAGAACCAAGCUAGAAUGAAAGGAUGAUAGUGAGGCAAAGUAUGUUGGAAGAAUUGGAAGAGCUAGAGAAAUGGCUUGUUGUUAUAGAGAAUGAGAAGAGUCGGUGGAGAAGAAGAAAUGUUGUAGAAGACACAGUAGGCAAAUGAAAACAAGGUUACAUACGUGAAUUCUUUAGCAGCAAAAAUCUUUUAUUAACAAACUCACCACAACAUAAUGCAUGUCUUUUUUUGACAUAACUUUGUAUAAUAGAAAAUAUGGAUCACACAGACAGGCGUGGCGCGCCUGUCUGGCCGCUAGUAGAUUGUAAAGACUAUGCUACUAAAUAACUGUAACUAACACGGAGUUGCUUACAGUUAGUUAUAGAUCAACUAUUUUAGGAUAAGCUAAGCUUCAAAUGAAACUAGUAAAAACAUAAAACUGGAAUUAUAAGCUGCAACUAGUGCAAAUGCUAGAAAAAGUGAACGUGUAGAAAGAGGAAUAUUAACCGGGCAUCUCUAUACUCCCCCCUCAAGCUAAAAGAGGGUGUGAGUCAUUGAGAAUUUGAGCUGGACCACACAUUUUUAGCUUGGAUAGAAAACAGUAAAUCUGGAUGCAGAAAGAGCCUUGGCCCUUAGUAAAAUGAUGCG
rnacentral:lncRNA from 1 species